CUUUUCAUCUUCAAAGUUCCCCGAAAUCCAAUUAUCCAAAUACCCCUAGUCACCAUUUCCUGGUUUGAUUCCUCUCUUCUCAACUACUACUUCCUCCGGUUCCCAUAUUCUUUCUCUCAAUUUCCGGUGUUUUCUCUUUUACUUCGAUCAGAUGAAAAAGUUGCUUAAACUAGCAAAUCGAAGGAUUUCACCCGAAGUUAGGACAAAAGGUUUCCAGCAAAGCUGGAAAAGGCUUUGAUGUGACAAAUUUCUGGUAGCUUCAUCAAUGUUUGAUUAUAUAUGCCCCACAGGCCUGUGUUGGUCAUGCCUUUUAUGAGGUCAAUGGCUGCAUCACUUGUAGUGUGUUCUCGUAUAGUAGGUCCAAUCCGAGUCCUCAUGUCAUACGUGAUACCAUAUUGGAUCUUUGUAAUGUGGUUGGAUAUGGUUACCUACUUGCAUCACCGCUGCCACGAGCAAAAGCUUCGUCGGCACAGAGGGGAGGAAUGUAGUUAUCUAAGUGGAGGGCUCACAAAAGUUGAUUGUGAUUAUGGGUGGAUUAACAACAUUCAUCACGACAUUGGAACUCACGUUAUCCAUCAUCUAUUCCACCCAGAUUUCACAUUAUCAUUUGGUAGAAACAGUGAGUACCCAUCUACUUGCCCAUCCCAUCUUUUACAUUUUUGAAUGACUAAAGAAAGUGUGCUAACCCUCAAGAGGCUUUUGCUUAAUGGCUGUUAAAUCUGUUUUUGCAGACCAAGGCAUCUAAACAUGUAUUUGGUAAGUAUUAACAUCUAGUACCAAGUAGAUUUGCUGCAUUGUCAUUAGACACUAUUAUGUUUGUAGAUGUCUCAUAGAACAUCAUAUGUUUUGACUUCUUCAUCUUUUUAGCUCUUAUGAAGGAAGUUGUUAGAAAAAGUGGAGUGUAUGGACAACCAUAACAUUUCUCAUUUCAUCACUGUUGUGUAGGUGCUUUUUAAGUUUUGUUUUGGAUUUUGAUUUAAUUGGGUAAUUGUGGUUCUGUGAAGUGGAUUUUGUUAAUAGAGGUGAAUUAGUUUUUAUGUUUGUGUGAUUUAUGUUCAUAGCGACUCAAUCAAAAAUAUUGACUGUCUGAAUCAUUCUCUAGUUUUUGUACGCUUUUACAGUAGAUUCACUCUCUGAAGUCAUGGUAGCUGCCCUGGUUUUCCAGCUUUAUGAAAAUGGAUGUUCUCUUAUCCUCCCUAUAGAUCUCAACUAAGUUUCUUUUUCAUUCUCAGCAAAAUAAGAUAUGGGUUUUGUUAAUCAGCAAUUCAUUUUCUUAAUCUAACCCCUUUUCUUAAUCUUCCGUCACCAACAUAUUCAUUAGCAGGUACUAAGAUCCCUGUCUUAAUUAGUGGUACCCAAUGAAAUUGUUAGUCCUUGGAAACUAUAAAUACUUGGUUAGAUGUUUUUAUGUUCAAUGCUUCAGUGAAUUUGAGCUGAAUGAAAUUGUGUUUCAGUUGAUUCUAAGUGAAUGGUUAUCUUCAAUUUGACAAUGUUAAUAACCGUAUCCCUUUUCCUACUUAGAUGCAUCUCAAAUGAAUCAUGUAUCAGUGAAAGAAUUGCUUUGGAAGUUCUUAAUCCGUGUAUAAAUAUGACUGAACUUUGUCGAUUCAGUGGUGCAAAGAUCUACCCUGGUAGGGGUAUUAGAUUUAUCAGGAGCGAUUCUCAGGUGUUCCUUUUUGUCAAACUCUAAAUGUAAGAGGUACUUCCGCAACAAGCUUAAGCCAGUAGGUGGUUCAUUAAGAAAAGCUUUUGAUGAAAUUUUUUUAAGACAAAUUGCUGGAUGUUAACAUUCUCUUGGGUCUGACAUUUGUUAAUUUGAAGUUGUGUUAUUUAUAAAACAAUUGUUAACAUCUGUAUGAACUCAUUGUUCAGGUAUCAUGUAUUCUUCAAGUAAGCACUAGUUAAGUUUCUUAUCUAUUUGAGUUUUAAGUAUUCA